rnacentral:rRNA from 1 species
UACGUAGGUGGCAAGCGUUGUCCGGAAUUAUUGGGCGUAAAGCGCGCGCAGGCGGCCUUUUAAGUCUGAUGUGAAGGCCCACGGCUCAACCGUGGAAGGUCAUUGGAAACUGAAAGGCUUGAGUACAGAAGAGGAAAGCGGAAUUCCACGUGUAGCGGUGAAAUGCGUAGAGAUGUGGAGGAACACCAGUGGCGAAGGCGGCUUUCUGGUCUGUAACUGACGCUGAGGCGCGAAAGCGUGGGGAGCAAACAGG